GAUGAACGCUGGCGGCGUGCUUAACACAUGCAAGUCGAACGAAGCAUUUAAGACAGAUUACUUCGGUUUGAAGUCUUUUAUGACUGAGUGGCGGACGGGUGAGUAACGCGUGGGUAACCUGCCUCAUACAGGGGGAUAACGAUUGGAAACGAUUGCUAAUACCGCAUAAGCGCACAGUACCGCAUGGUACGGUGUGAAAAACUCCGGUGGUAUGAGAUGGACCCGCGUCCGAUUAGCUAGUUGGUGAGGUAACGGCCCACCAAGGCGACGAUCGGUAGCCGGACUGAGAGGUUGAACGGCCACAUUGGGACUGAGACACGGCCCAGACUCCUACGGGAGGCAGCAGUGGGGAAUAUUGCACAAUGGGGGAAACCCUGAUGCAGCGACGCCGCGUGGAGGAAGAAGGUCUUCGGAUUGUAAACUCCUGUUGUUGAGGAAGAUAAUGACGGUACUCAACAAGGAAGUGACGGCUAACUACGUG
rnacentral:rRNA from 1 species